CGGCAAUGAGAGAGGUAGUACCCGCCCACGGCCGCCGCGCCGCGAUGCCGUAGAUGUUCGCCAGCGAUAGCGGCCAGAGGAGCGCGACCUCAACCCAGACGAGGCCGACGAAGAAGUGGGGCAUCUCUCCCAUGAGGUAAUCGCCGUACUCCUCCCUGUACCACCGCUUCAGAUCCACGAGCGCCGGCGGGUACAGCUCCGGGAAGAGGGAUUGGGCGUCGAUCACCGGGAUUGCCACUGCGAGCACGGCGGAGAAGAGAACGACGACUACAUCGAUGAUGCCGGAGAUGAAGCCCAUUUUCGGGUUCGGUCUCG
rnacentral:misc_RNA from 1 species